rnacentral:lncRNA from 1 species
AUAAUACAACAAGUGAGAGCUCUUCAUUGUUCCUAUCUGCCAAAUCAUUAUACUUCCUACAAGCAGUGCAGAGAGCUGAGUCUUCAGCAGGUCCAAGAAAUUUGAACACACUGAAGGAAGUCAGCCUUCCCACCUGAAGAUCAACAUGCCUGGCACUCUAGCACUUGAGGAUAGCUGAAUGAAUGUGUAUUUCUUUGUCUCUUUCUUUCUUGUCUUUGCUCUUUGUUCUCUAUCUAAAGUGUGUCUUACCCAUUUCCAUGUUUCUCUUGCUAAUUUCUUUCGUGUGUGCCUUUGCCUCAUUUUCUCUUUUUGUUCACAAGAGUGGUCUGUGUCUUGUCUUAGACAUAUCUCUCAUUUUUCAUUUUGUUGCUAUUUCUCUUUGCUCUCCUAGAUGUGGCUCUUCUUUCACGCUUUAUUUCAUGUCUCCUUUUUGGGUCACAUGCUGUGUGCUUUUUGUCCUUUUCUUGUUCUGUCUACCUCUCCUUUCUCUGCCUACCUCUCUUUUCUCUUUGUGAACUGUGAUUAUUUGUUACCCCUUCCCCUUCUCGUUCGUUUUAAAUUUCACCUUUUUUCUGAGUCUGGCCUCCUUUCUGCUGUUUCUACUUUUUAUCUCACAUUUCUCAUUUCUGCAUUUCCUUUCUGCCUCUCUUGGGCUAUUCUCUCUCUCCUCCCCUGCGUGCCUCAGCAUCUCUUGCUGUUUGUGAUUUUCUAUUUCAGUAUUAAUCUCUGUUGGCUUGUAUUUGUUCUCUGCUUCUUCCCUUUCUACUCACCUUUGAGUAUUUCAGCCUCUUCAUGAAUCUAUCUCCCUCUCUUUGAUUUCAUGUAAUCUCUCCUUAAAUAUUUCUUUGCAUAUGUGGGCAAGUGUACGUGUGUGUGUGUCAUGUGUGGCAGAGGGGCUUCCUAACCCCUGCCUGAUAGGUGCAGAACGUCGGCUAUCAGAGCAAGCAUUGUGGAGCGGUUCCUUAUGCCAGGCUGCCAUGUGAGAUGAUCCAAGACCAAAACAAGGCCCUAGACUGCAGUAAAACCCAGAACUCAAGUAGGGCAGAAGGUGGAAGGCUCAUAUGGAUAGAAGGCCCAAAGUAUAAGACAGAUGGUUUGAGACUUGAGACCCGAGGACUAAGAUGGAAAGCCCAUGUUCCAAGAUAGAUAGAAGCCUCAGGCCUGAAACCAACAAAAGCCUCAAGAGCCAAGAAAACAGAGGGUGGCCUGAAUUGGACCGAAGGCCUGAGUUGGAUGGAAGUCUCAAGGCUUGAGUUAGAAGUCUUAAGACCUGGGACAGGACACAUGGAAGGCCUAAGAACUGAGACUUGUGACACAAGGCCAACGACCUAAGAUUAGCCCAGGGUUGUAGCUGGAAGACCUACAACCCAAGGAUGGAAGGCCCCUGUCACAAAGCCUACCUAGAUGGAUAGAGGACCCAAGCGAAAAAGGUAUCUCAAGACUAACGGCCGGAAUCUGGAGGCCCAUGACCCAGAACCCAGGAAGGAUAGAAGCUUGAAGACCUGGGGAAAUCCCAAGAUGAGAACCCUAAACCCUACCUCUUUUCUAUUGUUUACACUUCUUACUCUUAGAUAUUUCCAGUUCUCCUGUUUAUCUUUAAGCCUGAUUCUUUUGAGAUGUACUUUUUGAUGUUGCCGGUUACCUUUAGAUUGACAGUAUUAUGCCUGGGCCAGUCUUGAGCCAGCUUUAAAUCACAGCUUUUACCUAUUUGUUAGGCUAUAGUGUUUUGUAAACUUCUGUUUCUAUUCACAUCUUCUCCACUUGAGAGAGACACCAAAAUCCAGUCAGUAUCUAAUCUGGCUUUUGUUAACUUCCCUCAGGAGCAGACAUUCAUAUAGGUGAUACUGUAUUUCAGUCCUUUCUUUUGACCCCAGAAGCCCUAGACUGAGAAGAUAAAAUGGUCAGGUUGUUGGGGAAAAAAAAGUGCCAGGCUCUCUAGAGAAAAAUGUGAAGAGAUGCUCCAGGCCAAUGAGAAGAAUUAGACAAGAAAUACACAGAUGUGCCAGACUUCUGAGAAGCACCUGCCAGCAACAGCUUCCUUCUUUGAGCUUAGUCCAUCCCUCAUGAAAAAUGACUGACCACUGCUGGGCAGCAGGAGGGAUGAUGACCAACUAAUUCCCAAACCCCAGUCUCAUUGGUACCAGCCUUGGGGAACCACCUACACUUGAGCCACAAUUGGUUUUGAAGUGCAUUUACAAGUUUCUGGCAUCACUACCACUACUGAUUAAACAAGAAUAAGAGAACAUUUUAUCAUCAUCUGCUUUAUUCACAUAAAUGAAGUUGUGAUGAAUAAAUCUGCUUUUAUGCAGACACAAGGAAUUAAGUGGCUUCGUCAUUGUCCUUCUACCUCAAAGAUAAUUUAUUCCAAAAGCUAAGAUAAAUGGAAGACUCUUGAACUUGUGAACUGAUGUGAAAUGCAGAAUCUCUUUUGAGUCUUUGCUGUUUGGAAGAUUGAAAAAUAUUGUUCAGCAUGGGUGACCACCAGAAAGUAAUCUUAAGCCAUCUAGAUGUCACAAUUGAAACAAACUGGGGAGUUGGUUGCUAUUGUAAAAUAAAAUAUACUGUUUUGAAAA